rfam:Gossypium raimondii Chr09_contig_1206, whole genome shotgun sequence.
AACAGGAGAAUGACAAAUCAAAAUUUUCCUCUUGAUAUUCAGCCUUUUCCUCCUGAAAAAAUUCAAAUCCAACUAUAAAAUGCUGAAUAUCAGGAGAAAAGUUUAAUUUGUCAUUCUCCUAUU